rnacentral:rRNA from 1 species
UACGUAGGGGGCAAGCGUUGUCCGGAUUUACUGGGCGUAAAGAGCGUGUAGGCGGCCAAGCAGGUCCGUUGUGAAAACUGGAGGCUUAACCUCCAGACGUCGACGGAAACCGCGUGGCUAGAGUCCGGAAGAGGAGAGUGGAAUUCCUGGUGUAGCGGUGAAAUGCGCAGAUAUCAGGAAGAACACCAAUGGCGAAGGCAGCUCUCUGGGACGGUACUGACGCUGAGGCGCGAAAGCCAGGGGAGCGAACGGG